GCAAUCUGACCUGCCAAGCAUGUCCACUACAGAUGACAAUGUAUGCCUUAUUGAAAAUUCGAUUCAAGGGGAUUAGUGUAUUCAACUUAGUGAUAUUGCUAAUGAAUUAAACAUCUUGUUGUUAACUGUAUACAACAUUAUUCAUGAAUAACUGGGGUACAGAAAAAAGUGUUCAUGCUGGUAUCAAGGCAACUUACAAGUCACAAAGCCAUUAGGAUGAGAUUCUCUCUCAUGCAUUUGAUGCAGUACUGUGAGGAAGAAAUGCAGUUCCUGCAUCAUAUUGUGAUGGGAAGAAAUAUGGGUGCAUCAUCUGACACCAGAGACAAAGCAAGUAUUCAUGACAUGGAAACAUAUAUACUUGAAGCAGAAACUGUGCAAUUCAGUGUGAUACUAUUAAAGGAAGAACAAUUUUCCACCAUGGUAUAAAGAAUAAAAGGUGUAACAAUAUGCAUAUUUCUUUUACUAGCUGCCAUAUUGAUG
rnacentral:lncRNA from 1 species